GAAGAAAGAAAGGAAGAAAAAGAAAGAAAGGAAGGGAGAAAGGAAGAAAGAAAGAAAAAAAGGAAGAAAGAAUCAAAAAAGGGUGUUGGCACCUUGGAUACUUAAGUCAACACCUUCCUUAUUAUGUCUUUGCUUUUUGAUAAACUACUCUGGUAAAUUUGCAUUUGAAGAAAGGACUCAAACCUUCUAUUCAGAAAGCAGAGGAGUUGCAAAUUAUAAUUUUAAAAAAUACUCCUCGAGAAGGAUCAGUUAAAAGGAAAUUCAAAUUUAAAGGCUAGCCUUAGAAAAUAGAAAAGAAACAAUACAAAUUAAACUAUAAGCUCAUCCUUCAAUUUAUAGCUGGACCCAGUUAAGAGAGCUCAGAACUGUGGGCAGUCACAAAGGCCACUGCGAAUGUCAAGCCCCUAAGCUGAAUUAAGACACAAACUACAUUUAGGAUGUGAUGAUUCUGACCAAUAUGCACCCUUCCACCACUUUCCCGUGGUAUAAUGCGGCACUACCUAUGGGUCUACUUCAUCUCUUACAUCUUGUAAGGAUGAGGGCUCUCCCUUGAACAUAGGCCCCAACGCAGAAGAGGAAGGUCACUGGGAGCUCACCUUUGUCAUGUCCUUCAAAGGAGAGAUCUGUUGGGGAGAUCUGCAGAGAACAGAGUUAUCUGCUCUCCUCUUGUGUUCAAUCACUUGUGUUUAAAAAGUACCAAGUCUCUUCAAAGAGGAGAAUAAGGCAUGCCUGCAGCCUCCACCUCAGUGAGCAAAGGCUCCUUUAGUCUCUCCCCUAGUUAUGUCAUCCCACAGAGCAGUUCUCUCUGAAGUUAAAGACCCGAGAAGAAAUCGUCCAUCUGAUAGCGUAAAGUAAUGUCUCGGCUCAGCUUUGAUGUCAUUCCUCCAUGACCUGUAAGCCUUCACUGAAGCCUGAGGCACAAGCAUCAAGGCACUCUGCCAGUGACAGGAAACCCCAAAAAGGCAAAGCAGGAUCAAUCUUCAAAUGGCUAGAAGGCACGCCUCAGGACACAGCCUCCCACAGAACUCCGGUUCAUGCCCACAAGGUCUACUUACUUCUAAUCCUGAAGAAGAGUUGCCUAUUAAAAAAGAGAGACUUGGGGCUGGCCAGAUGGCUCACCAGGUAAAGGCACUUCCAGCAAGCUUAAUAAACCAAACUCAAUCCUCUGGCCCCACACAGCGAUGGAAAUUGCUGACUCCCACAAGAUGUACUCUGAUUGUCAUACACAAGCUGUGGCAGGUUAGUGUCACCUACACAUGAAUAAAUAAAUGUAACAUUUUUUAACACAGUGAGCUGGGGGGAGGGGAGUGUCCAGUAGAAGAAAUACCUUAUAAAAAAUAAAAUGGUAGAUGAAGAAAAUAGUUAAAAAUAUGAGAGUCUAAAAAGAUGGCUUAGUAGCAGAGGAUGCUCACCUAUGAGAUAAGUUCAUAAAGAAAUCAUGUGACAUUCCCUUGUCUGAUUGUGGACAACAAGACACUCCUCAUUCCUACUCUGGAAGAAAGCAAUCUCACUCUUACUUUGAAGGAAGAAAUGCUGUAGAAAGAGGCGGAGUUGUUGGGUGUUCACAUUCACUGUAUUCUCAGUAGAUGUUCCCAUGUGGAUUAGCUCAUACCUGCCUGUAACUACAGCUCCCAGAAACUCAACACCUUCUACUGGCCUCCCAAGGAACCCCAUGUACGUAUCAACAUGUACACACAUAAAUAAAAAUAGAAUGACAUGUUUUAAAAAAUAAAAAGUGAAGCCAGGCAGUGGUAGUGCAUGCCUUUAAUCCUAGCACUUGGGAGGCAGAGGCAGGUGGAUUUCCGAGUUUGAGACCAUGGGGAUAUUCAUCACAUAUUCACAAGUGCUUCAGUUCGUUUGAAGGUCACUUAACUGAAUCAAAUCUCAAAAGUCAUAGGGACAUCUUUUCCCCUAUGAUUCCAAUGCUAUUAAUUUAUAUGAUACUCACAUAAACAUACAAAGAUAUGCACAUAAAGACAUUUAUUGGAGCAAAGUGAUAACAGCAAAACCUGCCAACAAUGUGUGAUAUUAAAUGUAUCCAUAUUCAUAUUUAUUUCAGCCUUUGUCCAUUAAUACUGUCUUACAAGCC